rnacentral:misc_RNA from 1 species
CACCACUCAAGCCUCGCUUGGUAUUGGGCGACGGGUCCCCCCGACCCGCGCCCCCAAUUGCCCCGGCUGGACGACUCCGAUCCCCCGCGUUGUGAUUCAAUUCGAACCGCAGGGAGGACGGGACGGCCGCGCCGACGGAAACGUCUCCAUCACA